GUUCACUUUGGCUGCCCAUAUCCUAAUCAGAAUGAUACAGAGAAGAUUAGCAUGGACCCUGUGCAAGGAUGACAUGCAAAUUUGUGAAUAUAUAUAUUA
rnacentral:snRNA from 1 species